rnacentral:ncRNA from 1 species
GGGGGCGGUUCGCCGCCCCCGACGUCGCGAGAAGUCCAUUGAACCUUAUCAUUUAGAGGAAGGAGAAGUCGUAACAUGGUUUAUGUAGGUGAACCUGCGGAAGGAUCAUUG